rnacentral:rRNA from 1 species
ANNUUNCNCAUGGAGAAGUCUGAGGNGCCCGUCCGCGUGCAGUGAUGACGGCCUUCGGAUUGGAAAGCUGUGUUAAUCGGGACAAAUGGUUUGUGUGCAGAUACUGCUUACACGUGCCGGUUCCAUAAAGAAAGGCUACGGCUAAGUACGUGCCCGCGGCCACACUAAUACA